ensembl:lncRNA
AUGGAAUAUUUAAGCGUGGCUAAUUUUUCAGAUCUGCCAGAUUGUUUGUUAAUAGACUUUUUUUGUGAGGGUCUUAACCAGCCACUCAAAUCACGACUGAUUCAGGAGGGUCCCCGUUUGACUUUAAGUGAUUUUUUGGACUUUGCUUUAUUUUCGGUUGGCUCAGCUUUUACUGUGGGCCUCAUGGAGGAGGAAAGCGACAUAGCGGUAAAGAUGGCCGCCAGCCCAGAGCCACUGCACGAAAUGGCAGCCCCAGCUGACUUUCCAGAGUCAAGUCCAGCCACCGCUGAUCUUCAGGAGUCACAUCAAGUCACAAGUGAUCAUGAAUCAAGUCGCAUCUCAGCUGAACUUCCAGAGCCUCGUCACAUUUCAGCCAAUCGUCCAGAGUCUCAUGUCAUCGCAGGUAAUCGUCCAGAAUCCCUUCAUGUCUCAGUGCAUCAUCCAGAGUCUUGUAACGUCCUGUCUGUCACACCUGGAUAUUCAAGGUCAGUGCUUCGAUAUCCUAGUCUGGUGUCAAGUGUGAGGGAUACACCGAUGAUGUCUGCACAUGCAGCGGGUAUCCCCAAAAUCACUCACUCUUGCUCUUCUGUUCCCGAACUGAUUCCCCUGACUAGAGUGCUUCCCCUGAUGGGAAUCUCUUUGUGGUGUGUCUGGGCUGUAUAUGCCAUCUCAGAACCCCCAGAUAGGGCGUCGUCCACUAUGAAAGCUUCAGAGGUGGUGGUUGAGGCUGCAGAACCUCCUAAGGUAGAGGCGCACACUGCUGUAUCUCCUGAAGCAAUGGUGCCUGCUGCGGUUUCUCCGGAGGUGGCGGCAUAUGCCACAGAGCCUCUUGAAGCGGCGGUUCUCACUUCAGUUCCUUGGAUGGCGGUGGCAUCCAGCAAUGCACCUCCAGCUCAUCAUGUCACUGUCGAAGGAACCACAGAUGAACUCUCCCAGUCUCCUUAUGGCAUCACUGUAGAACCUCCCGAGGUGGUGGCAUCUGCUGCAGAACCUCUGGAGGUGUCAGUGAUAUCCACUCUUCAGCUCUCGCCCUCUCCUGUCAUGGCCAUGGAGGCCGUCGGUGAACUCUCAUCCUGCCCUGUCACAGCUAUGGAUGCCGUUUGUGGAUCCUUGACUUGCUCUGCCAUAGCCAUUAAGGCUGUUUGUGAACUACUGCCUUGGCUUGACCCAGCCAAAGAAGCAGAUUCUACACUCUCAGCCUUGUCCAUUAAACCUGAAAACACUGUGUCUGAACUCCCAGGUUGCUUUGCUAGGGCCACAGGGGCUGUUCAAGAAAUUUCACUUCCACCCAUCACUGUCAUGAAUGUCUUAAACUAA